rnacentral:tRNA from 2 species
GGUCCUUUAGCUCAGCGGUAGAGCAGCCGAUUGCAGAUCGGCAGGUCAGUCGUUCGAACCGGCUAGGGACCU